GAUAACUUAGCCAACCCACUAAAUUUGAGUUUUUUUUCGGAUAAAUCGACAAGUAUUUCAUUACAUCUUGGAUGAAGCACACAUACAACGUACAUGUGGUAACUCGAGAGGUGUAGCCCAUAGAUGAAUUACAAAAGGAUUAUACCGAUCAAAGAUCAAUAUACCACGUCCAAAUUCCCCUCAAUACCAAAGCCAUCAAUAUCAAAAGUUUUAAAACUACCUCUACUGAUCAUCGCACUAACCACCGACUUGGCGAACCGCAACUCUAAAACGAAAGAAGAAAAUCAAAACAAGCAAACCAAAGGCUAAAUUGCCCAGAUCCGUACGAAAAGACAAGACAAAGAAAAGAAAGCAGUGGAGCUUGCUACACACCAGAUGAUAGAGAUGUUGCUGGAGUGAGAAGCUACUCCGCAACCGCCGAAUCGAGUUAUGUCGAUGGGCGGGUCCCAUUCAUGUGACAAGCCUGUAUCACCUGUGAGCUGCCGAGACCUUCCUCUUCGGUGAUUUGGAGAGGGAUAGUCCCUGGACUUGUACCGUAACCAGAUCCGGGUUUGCUUCCACGGUGGCCGUGUUUUCCGAUGCUAUGUGCGGCUCGUUCAGCUCCAUCACCACCGUUGCUGCUCCUGUGCGCGAUCCAGGAGUCCUAGGUGUCACCGGGCCGAUUUGGUUGCUGGGUUUGGGAGGCAUGAGGCAUCCAAUGGUCGAGGUGUGCGAUUUGCUUGGAGAGGUGGGUUGAUGGAUGUGUAUGGUGAGCGAGGUUUGAUAUGUAUGUGGGUGGGAGAGGUGAUGAGUAGCCGCUGCUCGAUAGGGACUUGCCAGAGCAAUUAGAAAUGUGAGGACAAAGAAGAAAGAAAAAAAAGAACGGCCGACUCGCGGCGAGGCCAAACCCAGAGCUGGGGAGGACAAACCCUAGCGCCAGGGGAAAUCAUCCACUGAAUUUGAGUUGAUGAUAUGCUUGUUCUCGAGAUGAUUCCCUCUGCUCAACGCUUCAAAAUUAUAAAUUAUAAAUUAUAAAAUUAGUUACCACCACAAUUACAAUUCAACCGUGAAUUGCAAUUCAACCCACCAUCAAAAAGUGAAUCUCUCUCCUUCCAGUAGGCACAUGGGUCCCAUUGUACAUAUAGAUUUUCAUCCAUGGCCCCAGUUUUACCAAUCCAAACUCGUUGGAUGGUUUAGUAACAGUAAUUCCUUCACCACAUAACUAGCAUUGAAAUCAGUCACUAUGAUUGGAGAGUUUACAAGGAGCUGGAGUGAAAGAAAUGCAUAUAUAUGAAAACAAAAUAGAGUGAGAGAGAGAGAGAGAGAGCUUACUAGCUAGUUCCUUUGCUUAGUGCGUCACCACCAAAGCCACAAAGAGGAAAAGGAACAAAUAGAUGGCAGCAGAGCUUUGCUCAACUUAGCUUAGCUUUGCUUUCUGGAGAGAGAGAGAUAAGAGAGAAAUAUGGGGAGAGGUAGAGUGGAACUGAAGAGGAUUGAAAACAAGAUCAACAGACAAGUAACGUUUGCAAAGAGAAGGAAUGGGCUGCUGAAGAAAGCUUAUGAGC
rnacentral:lncRNA from 1 species